rnacentral:rRNA from 1 species
AGAGUUUGAUCCUGGCUCAGGACGAACGCUGGCGGCGUGCCUAACACAUGCAAGUCACGGGGGGUAGCAAUACCAACCGGCGAACGGGUGCGGAACACGUGAGCAAUCUACCGAUUACUGGGGGAUAGCCGGCCCAACGGCCGGGUAAUACCGCAUACGCUCAAGAGGGGACAUCCCCAUUUGAGGAAACCUCCGGGGGUAAUCGAGGAGCUCGCGUCUUAUCAGCUAGUUGGUGAGGUAACGGCUCACCAAGGCUACGACGGGUAGCUGGUCUGAGAGGAUGGCCAGCCACAUUGGGACUGCGACACGGCCCAGACUCCUACGGGAGGCAGCAGUGGGGAAUAUUGCGCAAUGGACGAAAGUCUGACGCAGCGACGCCGCGUGUGGGAUGAAGCUCUUCGGGGUGUAAACCACUGUUGCCCGGGACGAAUAUCCUUUUUUGAAAGGAUUGACGGUACCGGGUGAGGAAGCACCGGCUAACUCUGUGCCAGCAGCCGCGGUAAUACAGAGGGUGCGAGCGUUGUCCGGAAUCACUGGGCGUAAAGGGCGCGUAGGUGGCUUGUUAAGCGUGUGGUGAAAGCCUGGGGCUCAACCCCAGGUCUGCCGUGCGAACUGGCAAGCUUGAGCGUAGUAGAGGCAGGUGGAAUUUCGGGUGUAGCGGUGGAAUGCGUAGAUAUCCGAAAGAACACCGGUGGCGAAGGCGGCCUGCUGGGCUACUGCUGACACUGAUGCGCGACAGCGUGGGGAGCAAACAGGAUUAGAUACCCUGGUAGUCCACGCCGUAAACGAUGGGUACUAGGCGUCUGGGGGAGCGACCCCCUGGGUGCCGGCGCUAACGCAUGAAGUACCCCGCCUGGGGAGUACGGCCGCAAGGCUGAAACUCAAAGGAAUUGACGGGGGCCCGCACAAGCGGUGGAGCAUGUGGUUUAAUUCGACGCAACGCGAAGAACCUUACCUGGGUUUGACAUGCUGGAGAAAGCCCUCAGAAACGGGGGCCCCUCUUCGGAGUUCCAGCACAGAUGCUGCAUGGCUGUCGUCAGCUCGUGUCGUGAGAUGUUGGGUUAAGUCCCGCAACGAGCGCAACCCUCAUCCCUAGUUACCAGCGGGUAAAGCCGGGAACUCUAGGGGGACUGCCGGUGCCAAACCGGACGAAGGUGGGACGACGUCAAGUCAUCAUGGCUCUUACAUCCAGGGCUACACACGUGCUACAAUGGGCCAGACAAAGGGUCGCCAACCCGCGAGGGGGAGCCAAUCCCAUAAACUGGUCCUCAGUUCGGAUUGCAGUCUGCAACUCGACUGCAUGAAGCUGGAAUCGCUAGUAAUCGUGGAUCAGCUACGCCACGGUGAAUACGUUCCCGGGCCUUGUACACACCGCCCGUCACGCCAUGGAAGCUGUGAGUGCCCGAAGUCCGUGCAGGAACCCGCAAGGGGCCGAGCGGCCGAAGGCAAGCGCAGUGACUGGGGCGAAGUCGUAACAAGGUA